rnacentral:rRNA from 1 species
CCUACGGGAGGCAGCAGUGGGGAAUAUUGCACAAUGGGGGGAACCUUGAUGCAGCAACGCCGCGUGGGUGAAGAAGUACUCCGGUAUGUAAAGCCCUGUCAGCAGGGAAGAAAAUGACGGUACCUGACCAAGAAGCACCGUCUAACGCCGUGACAGCAGCCGCGGUAAUACGGAGGGGGCAAGCGUUAUCCGGAUUUACUGGGUGUAAAGGGGGCGUAGGCGGAAAGGCAAGUCUUGAGGGAAAGCCCGGGGCCUAACCACGGGACUGCUUUGGAAACGGUGUUGCUGGAGUGCAGGAGGGGUAAGCGGAAGUCCUAGUGUAGCGGUGAAAUGCGUAGAUAUUAGGAGGAACACCGGUGGCGAAGGCGGCUUACUGGACUGUAACUGACGUUGAGGCACGAAGGCGUGGGGAGCAAACAGGAUUAGAUACCCCAGUAGUC